UCUAGAUUGUGAGCAGGUUGUCUGCCAGAGGUCACGGUGUCUCUCUCAUUCUGCGUGUCUGUAGGGUGAAGUUGGGCCUGUUGGAGAAGAAGGUGAACCGGGUCAACUGGGCAUCAGAGGUCUUCCGGGACCACCUGGAGAGGACGGACAUCAGGGGAAAGACGGACCGAAGGGCGAGUCAGGUGACC